rnacentral:rRNA from 1 species
AUUGAACGCUGGCGGCAGGCCUAACACAUGCAAGUCGAGCGGUAGAGAGGUGCUUGCAUCUCUUGAGAGCGGCGGACGGGUGAGUAAUGCCUAGGAAUCUGCCUAGUGGUGGGGGAUAACGUUCGGAAACGGACGCUAAUACCGCAUACGUCCUACGGGAGAAAGCGGGGGGAUCUUCGGACCUCGCGCCAUUAGAUGAGCCUAGGUCGGAUUAGCUAGUUGGUGAGGUAAUGGCUCACCAAGGCGACGAUCCGUAACUGGUCUGAGAGGAUGAUCAGUCACACUGGAACUGAGACACGGUCCAGACUCCUACGGGAGGCAGCAGUGGGGAAUAUUGGACAAUGGGCGAAAGCCUGAUCCAGCCAUGCCGCGUGUGUGAAGAAGGUCUUCGGAUUGUAAAGCACUUUAAGUUGGGAGGAAGGGUAGUAACCUAAUACGUUGCUACUUUGACGUUACCGUACAGAAUAAGCACCGGCUAAC